GGCGUACGGCCUUCUUAUAAAUGCAAGUCGAGCGACAGAUGAGAAGCUUGCUUCUCUGAUGUUAGCGGCGGACGGGUGAGUAACACGUGGGUAACCUACCUAUAAGACUGGGAUAACUCCGGGAAACCGGGGCUAAUACCGGAUAAUAUUUUGAACCGCAUGGUUCAAUAGUGAAAGACGGUUUCGGCUGUCACUUAUAGAUGGACCCGCGCCGUAUUAGCUAGUUGGUAAGGUAACGGCUUACCAAGGCGACGAUACGUAGCCGACCUGAGAGGGUGAUCGGCCACACUGGAACUGAGACACGGUCCAGACUCCUACGGGAGGCAGCAGUAGGGAAUCUUCCGCAAUGGGCGAAAGCCUGACGGAGCAACGCCGCGUGAGUGAUGAAGGUCUUCGGAUCGUAAAACUCUGUUGUUAGGGAAGAACAAAUUUGUUAGUAACUGAACAAGUCUUGACGGUACCUAACCAGAAAGCCACGGCUAACUACGUGCCAGCAGCCGCGGUAAUACGUAGGUGGCAAGCGUUAUCCGGAAUUAUUGGGCGUAAAGCGCGCGUAGGCGGUUUCUUAAGUCUGAUGUGAAAGCCCACGGCUCAACCGUGGAGGGUCAUUGGAAACUGGGAAAACUUGAGUGCAGAAGAGGAGAGUGGAAUUCCAUGUGUAGCGGUGAAAUGCGCAGAGAUAUGGAGGAACACCCAGUGGCGAAGGCGGCUCUCUGGUCUGUAACUGACGCUGAUGUGCGAAAAGCGUGGGGAUUCAACAGGAUUAGAUACCCUUGGUAGUCCCACGCCCUAAACCGAUUGAGUGCCUAAGUGUUAUGGGGGUUUUCCGCCCCAUAAUUGCUGCAGCUAACGUCAUUUAAUCCAUUCCGCCUGGGGGAGUUCCUAACCGC
rnacentral:rRNA from 1 species